rnacentral:lncRNA from 1 species
AAAACCCACAAAGGGCAAGGCUCCAACGGCCGCAGCAGUAGGUACAUCAGCCACACGUCCUUCUCUCAAUACGAAUGGACAGCAAGGCCCACCAAAAAGUGCAACGGAUGGGAGAGAUAUGGAAGUGAUGGUACUCGCAGAAAGUGAUGGGACUAUAGUACAUAAAGCGGUGCAUGAGGGCACCAAGGAGAAUUCAAAAAAUUAUUUUCCUGAGCCACCAGCACAGGCAGAUAUUUUGCUACAUGGGGAGGACAGGCAGACCUCAGAGAGUGGGAUGAGGGCCCAGCAUGUGCUAGUGGACAACUUGGAAGGAAGUGGAGAAUACAAUCCAUCCAUUGGACAAGAUACAAGUAAGAUUGUGUCCAGCAUGAUCGGACAGCCCAACAAAUGCCAACAAUCAGGAGAUAUGUUCAUACAAUCCAAUGGACAACCCAACAAAUUCCAACAACCAGGAGAUAUAAUUGAAGGAAGUGGGGAACACAGCCCAACAAAUGGACAGUUUACAAGUCAAACCAGGAACAUAAAUGCCUAGCACCGAGUUAUUUCAUCAGAAGCUUGCUCACGUGAAAGGAUGAAAGGUCAAGCAGACAUUCCCCCCACCUAAGAGUCUGCCUCGGGUAAAUGCAUGCACAACAAAGAACUAAGUGAUGUUCCUUCGUUUCUUUUCUCCGAAACAAAAUUCACAAAAAUCGAGGUCCAUCAUAGGAUACGGCGUAGGAGACAUUCAGACACUGAAGUUUCAAUUGAUAAAAUAUUAAGUUUCGCCUCAGACAAAGCCAUGGACAUGGGGGAAAAUGAUGAGGACUCGGAUGAAGAUGCCAUCUCAGUGAACUUUACAGCUAGUUGGGAACGAGAGAGAUAUUACUAGUGCGCUAAUCCAGGGAAAAAUCAAGAAAUUUAGCAUUUUUGGUUUCAAAUUUUUACUCUAGGUCCGUCUUGGAAAAUCUCUUAUGCUCAUGUAACUUGGAGGCUCGGAUCAUGUCCCCCUUCUUUGCUCUUUUUAUUUUGUAACUUAUAAAAUUUAACAAGGUAGUUGGGCCCUGCAAUUUUUUCCAACUUAAAAAAAAAUCGUGUAUGGGGCUGAAAUGGUAUUGACCUAAUUCACACAAUACACCGGUUAAUUGGCCAAAAUAUCCAAUUCAACUCCAAACAAAUUCAUUUCACUUCCAAUACUCCAAAUCAUCAAAUAUAAGCUAGAUAACAUGAAUUAUAGCAAAAUCAUCCUUAACAUUUUCUCUUGGAAAAAUUCGGCCAUGGAGGGUUCAUGAAUAAUAUGUGGUUUUUCAUGCUUGAUUUUUACACUUUACAUCAUAAAACAACUAAAAAUACCUAAAUAGCAUAAAAUUCAUCAAAGUCCAUUUUCCAGUUUCUCUCUUGAAAAAUUCAGCCAAUGGGUGUGGAUGAAGGGCAUGAAAUUUCUUGCUUGUUUUUCAUGCUAAACAUCACCAAACAACUAAAAAAACUAGAAUAACAUGAAAUCUAGCUAAAUCCAAGAUCAAAAUCCCUCCCCCCAUGUCUAGCCAGCAAAGGUAUCUCCAUGUAAACUUGAUUCUCAACCAUGGAAAAUGAAAAAGAAUGCAUAGGAAAGGUAGAUCACAAGCUAAAAUCAAGAAAUUUUACCUUUACUUGCUUAAUUCCUUAAAAUCCACCAAUUUUUCCUUGAAUUUUUGCUCACUAGGGUUUGUUCUCUUCUUUUUUUCUCUUUGUUCUUGUCUUAGCCGACCAUGAAGAAUGAAAUAAGAGAGGUGUGU